UGAGUAGGGUGCAUGCCGUGAGUGCUGUA
rnacentral:piRNA from 1 species